rnacentral:rRNA from 1 species
AAGGGGUUGUAGCUGGCUGUUUCGUUUGAGCGGCAUGUGCACGCCCUGAUCAUUAUCCAUCUCACACACCUGUGCACAUACUGUAGGUCGGCUUUUGAUUGGAGUGGGGUCUUCAUCGACUCUGCUUUUUAGUUGGGGCCUUCCUAUGUUUUAUCACACACUACUUCAGUUUAAAGAAUGUCCUCUUGCGUCUAACGCAUUUAAAUACAACUUUCAGCAACGGAUCUCUUGGCUCUCGCAUCGAUGAAGAACGCAGCGAAAUGCGAUAAGUAAUGUGAAUUGCAGAAUUCAGUGAAUCAUCGAAUCUUUGAACGCACCUUGCGCUCCUUGGUAUUCCGAGGAGCAUGCCUGUUUGAGUGUCAUGGAAUUCUCAACUCUAUUUGCUUUUGUGAAUAGAGCUUGGACUUGGAGGUUUAUUGCCGGUACCUGUGAUCGGCUCCUCUUGAAUGCAUUAGCUCGAACCUUUUGUGGAUCAGCUUAUCGGUGUGAUAAAAUGUCUACGCCGUUACUGUGAAGCAUAUUAUUCGGCUUCCAAUCGUCCUUCACGGGACAAUAACUUUGACCUUUGACCUCAAAUCAGGUAGGAUUACCCGCUGAACUUAAGCAUAUCAAUAAGCGGAGGAA